GAAAGAAAGAAAGAAAGAAAGGAAGGAAGGAAGGAAGGAAGAAGGAAGGAAGGAAGGAAGGAAGGAAGGAAGGAAGGAGAAAGAAAGAAGAAAGAAAGAAAGAAAGAAAGAAAGAAAGAAAGAAAGAAAGAAAGAAAGAAAGAAAGAAA